rnacentral:sRNA from 2 species
CAAAAUGUUUUCUAGGGUUCCGCAAUUGUCCGAUUGGUCCGGACCGAGAGAAAACUCACGGCUAACGCCGUGCCACGGAGGGAUAAAAGCCCGGGAGAG